UACGAAGGGUGCAGGCGUUAAUCGGAAUUACUGGGCGUAAAGAGUUCGUAGGCGGCUUGUCGCGUCGGAUGUGAAAGCCCGGGGCUUAACUCCGGGUCUGCAUUCGAUACGGGCAGGCUAGAGUUCGGUAGGGGAGAUCGGAAUUCCUGGUGUAGCGGUGAAAUGCGCAGAUAUCAGGAGGAACACCGGUGGCGAAGGCGGAUCUCUGGGCCGAUACUGACGCUGAGGAGCGAAAGCGUGGGGAGCGAACAGG
rnacentral:rRNA from 1 species